GAUGAACGCUGGCGGCGUGCCUAAUACAUGCAAGUCGAGCGAACAGACGAGGAGCUUGCUCCUCUGACGUUAGCGGCGGACGGGUGAGUAACACGUGGAUAACCUACCUAUAAGACUGGGAUAACUUCGGGAAACCGGAGCUAAUACCGGAUAAUAUAUUGAACCGCAUGGUUCAAUAGUGAAAGACGGUUUUGCUGUCACUUAUAGAUGGAUCCGCGCCGCAUUAGCUAGUUGGUAAGGUAACGGCCUACCAAGGCAACGAUGCGUAGCCGACCUGAGAGGGUGAUCGGCCACACUGGAACUGAGACACGGUCCAGACUCCUACGGGAGGCAGCAGUAGGGAAUCUUCCGCAAUGGGCGAAAGCCUGACGGAGCAACGCCGCGUGAGUGAUGAAGGUCUUCGGAUCGUAAAACUCUGUUAUUAGGGAAGAACAAAUGUGUAAGUAACUAUGCUCGUCUUGACGGUACCUAAUCAGAAAGCCACGGCUAACUACGUG
rnacentral:rRNA from 1 species